rnacentral:rRNA from 1 species
AGUAAAAGUCGUAACAAGGUCUCCGUUGGUGAACCAGCGGAGGGAUCAUUACCGAGUUUACAACUCCCAAACCCCUGUGAACAUACCAAUUGUUGCCUCGGCGGAUCAGCCCGCUCCCGGUAAAACGGGACGGCCCGCCAGAGGACCCCUAAACUCUGUUUCUAUAUGUAACUUCUGAGUAAAACCAUAAAUAAAUCAAAACUUUCAACAACGGAUCUCUUGGUUCUGGCAUCGAUGAAGAACGCAGCAAAAUGCGAUAAGUAAUGUGAAUUGCAGAAUUCAGUGAAUCAUCGAAUCUUUGAACGCACAUUGCGCCCGCCAGUAUUCUGGCGGGCAUGCCUGUUCGAGCGUCAUUUCAACCCUCAAGCCCAGCUUGGUGUUGGGACUCGCGAGUCAAAUCGCGUUCCCCAAAUUGAUUGGCGGUCACGUCGAGCUUCCAUAGCGUAGUAGUAAAACCCUCGUUACUGGUAAUCGUCGCGGCCACGCCGUUAAACCCCAACUUCUGAAUGUUGACCUCGGAUCAGGUAGGAAUACCCGCUGAACUUAAGCAUAU